rnacentral:snRNA from 1 species
AAGCUGAAAAUGCGAAUUAAAUG